AUCCAAUCUUGCAUAAUCUUUUCAUGGUUCUGGUUUUUUGUUUUAUUAUUAUUUAGAUUUUUCUUUUUUUUAAUUUUCUAGAAAAUGAAUGACCGUCAACAAAUAUUAAUGCACCAGAACUAUGCAGAAUGGAAAGUUGAAACCUAAAGCACUUUGAGCACUGAAGAACCCAUUCACAUCCUGAAAAUAUUGUGUGCUUUUAUAACUACAAUAUGAAACAAAUAAUAUUAAUUCAUUAGAAAUUAAAUUUGCAUGGUAAUAAAAUGCUGAAUUGUACCAUACCUCAGCCUACACCUAGCUGACCUUUUCUGGAUUAUUUCAUGAUAAAAGUCCAAGAAAAUAGUAGUAAAACUCAGGGAAGCAGUCCUGAAAACACCCCGCUCCUCUUGCAACCAUGCAGAUCUCUUUUCUUAUCUUGUGUAAAGGCAACGGUGUGUUUGUCUGUCUUCGGUCAGCUAUACUGGAAUGUCCAAGCAAACGUUUCACACUCAACCCGUUAGUGUGUGUGCGUGUGUGUGUGUGUUUGUGUGCAUGCGUGCAUGAUGUGUGUAUGUGACUGUGGGUGUAUUUCUGUUUGUGUGUGUGUGAGUGUGCGUGUGUGUGUGUGUGUGUGUGUGUGUGUGUGUGUGUAUUUCUGAGUGUGUGUGUGCAUGGGUGUGUUUGUGUGUGUGUGUGUAUUUCUGAGUGUGUGUGUGUGUGUGUGCAUGUGUGUGUGUGUGUGUGUAUGUACGUGCCUGUGUGUGACUGGCCUCCAGAACUCCCUAAUCUCCCAUGCACCUGAGUGAGAGAACGUGGCUCAUGCGCACGUAGGAUUCAGAUAAGCCACAGAAACACAGGUACUCUAAUGCAAACACUGCACCGACCUUGAGCACAACGCACCCACCCUCCACGUUCGGAAUAUAGCUGCUUUUCAGACCCUUUUUUCCCAAAGAAAUUAAAUGUCAACCUUUUCCAAACACUACCUUGCUAAAUCCCGAACAAAGACCUGCCUUGGCCUGCCAGCACCUCUCUUCUUGAUUUCCAAGCACUCUGGAUGUCUCUCAAGUCUGCCUGGGGAUGGCACAGUAUUUGGGUACUUGGGUACUCAGCCAUACCUAUUGGUCAGGGAUAAAAAAUUAAUAUUGCUGAAGUAAAGAUGUUAAAUAUCAGAUAUUAUUUCAAGCACCCUAUUGGCAUACCAUCAGAAUAAAUUUGAGUUGUCAAUCUCUCCUCCUCUGCAUCUCUCUGAACUCCGCUUGUCUCUAUGAGCUUUUUCCUCCACAACGGGGUACAGUGAUCUGAUAUCAGACUAAUCCCAUAGCCCUUUCUGCAGUACAUAUACAUGUAUACAACACCCUUUAUUAUAUGCACCCUGACACCUGUCAACUAAGACCUAUAGAACUGCAGCCCCUGCCCUGACCACACAGGCAAUAAUAUAAUGCUAUCCUCCUCCAGUUUCAUUAUACAUCACUGUCCAUAGCCGGCAACAUUACAGUAAUGAUUACUGUAUCUGAAAUAUAUUUCAAGAUAAAGACAACACCUAACGUAAAACUUGCUUUGUUUGUCGCUCUAUAGCAUGGCCCUCUCUCUCUCUUUCUCUCUCUCUAACUCUCUCUUUCAUUUUCUCAUUGCCAAACAUUGGCAAAGCAUACAACACAAACACAGAUGAACAAUCUCUCACGCACACCAAAACACACACACACACACACAUGCAUGCAUACAUGCCCACACACGCACACACACGCACACCUGCCCCCACACACACACACACACACACUCAUGACAAUAGAUGUUAAACCGUAAUUUUAAUGCCAUUCAUGUGUACUUUUUGAAUUGAUGAAAAAGGGAGGAUUUUUAGCUGGUUAUUCUGACCUGGUCUGGGGUCAUGGCCUUUUGUUAGUUUAGCCUGCUGUCUGACAUUAGUUGGGGUUCAGCAUAUAGCACAUUGAGAAAAUUUGCCCUAACUUGCCAAUUUCUCUGAACUUUGACAGCACAACUACUAUGGGACUACUACUGUUACUAAAGCGCACAUGUACACACACACACACACACACACACACACACACACCGACACGUGCACACAGACACAUACACACAGACACAGUCAUAAUAUAGCUUUACUUUACUUUUCAGAUUUUAGAAAAAGGAAAAGGGUUCAUGUCUCAAAAUACUAUGAUAUUUGUUGAAGGUGCACGCUAUAUCAUUCACUUGAGAACCAACACUGUUUGUGUGUAUUUCUGUGUAUUACCAUGUCUGAUGGUUUUUGGAAUAUGAGCCCAUUCAGACCAAAUAGUCUAUAUUAGAAUGAGGAGUGGAAUUAAUCCAACUAGACUGCUUCAUCGGUAAUGUCUGCCUUGUUGUCUGCCUUGUUAAAGACAAACCUGGCAUUUAAAAAUCUAAUUUUGAAUUCUAAAUGAGUCAUAUAUAAUUUGGAAUGUGAUUCUUAUCACUGCACACAAAAUAUUUACUUUUUUAAAAUGACCUCUUUUCAAAAAGCAUCCCAAAUCUAUUUUCUUUGUUUGGAUGAAGACACCAAAACAAGUGUUACCUAACUAUAGAUGGUAUUUCAUGUUGCCUCCACAAAGCACCUAUUUUUUGUAUUACUUAAAAUAGUAAUUGUUUUGUGAUUGUUCCUAAUUGCAACAGGGUAUCCGAUGUAGCAUGACUAAAAUUAGUUGUACAAAAUUAGUAGUAAAGAGGAGGACCAUUAAAAAGCUAGGAAGGUAGACAUGAGAACAGCAAUCAAACCUAAACUCGAGCAAUAGUCAUGAUAAAGACCUUCUGGAAUAUGAAGUGAACCGACUAUGUUAAAUUCAGAUAUUUAUAGUGCGGUUUUUCAGUUUAAUGUAUGAGUAACAAACGCAGAAUUAGCAGCUUGCUUGAGACGUGAACUGAGGCUAACCCGCUAAGGUCACCACUUGGUCAUCACUAACCACUAGACAAUCAAAUAUUUGUGGAGUUAUUCUGGAAUUAAAGUUCGAGUUUGUGCCGGCCCUAGGAAUCAUGUUCGCAUUUUCAGGUGCACAAGUUGCCGUGACGUCAACAAUUUAUUAGAUAGCCUAGAACGCAUCUCUUAAUGGCUAUAAACUGUUAUUGCCCAAAUGCACUGCACCUGCUGAGAUAGUUAAGUUGAUUUAAUUAGUUUUAUUUUCUUUGAUCUGAAACCUCGUAAGACACAACAUUAUAACACGGCGCUCUGCAAAAUGCAUUUUAUCUUUAAUUAUUCGUUUUGCAACUAGGCUUACUAUAAGCGCAUUUUUCAGUCAGAUUGCGUUAUGAUUGAAUAUUUAUCUUUGUUCUUUUAUUGGAUUUAUUAUUUUAUAUAUCGGUUUUUUAGUACAAAUAAUCUUAUUUGGUUUAAUUUCGUAUUAUUCCCAUUCUUCUACACUUUGAAGUAGCCUAGUCUCUAGGCUAUGACAGUGUAUUUUCGUUAAACGUAUAAGCAUAAUAAUAAUAACAACAACAACAACUAAUAAUAAUAAUAAUAAUAAUAAUAAUGUAAAACCUUUAAUUAUUUUGAUUUGUUUUAUAUAAUAAUCAGCUAAAACGAAAAAAAAAAAAACAGAUCUAUGAUUUUAACAAUACGGUCAUCUAUUAAUUUGUCCACUUGAGCACUUGACAGAAAAUCCUGUUUUGCAAUAAAUAAAUAAAAAUGUUCGUCAUAUAAAAAGGACGAAAUGGCCUUUUUGCAGCCCACAUAUAUAUUUAUUUAAUGUUCUACCCGAACAUUGUUAACUAAGGCAGAAAAUAAGCAAAUUAGCAAGCCUUAGUUGCAUCAGGUGUGCUUGAGAUAGAACACAUCAAAUACUUCGUUAAAUGCGACAGGGGGUUAGCCUUCCAGAGGAAAGGGUUGGGACCCACUGUGCUAAGGUUUUUAUAAUGUACUUGUAUUAUGUCAUUAUUAGCCUAUGUAUGCACUGUAUGUACGUUAAAUUAGACCAUAAAAAGCAUUUCGACAGGAGACUCAUUCAGCAUUUAAUAUGAUACAGUCACGUUCUGGUUUACUGAGACGACUAAUCCGAUUAAGUUUUACAGAAUCUUAUUUCGUUUUUAUCUAAAGCUAUAACUUCGUAGUUGCUGCUGCUAAAGUUAAAUAAAUAAAACUAGUUCCGUAAUAGACUGGACACAUUGGCUCUACUAGGGAGAGUUGGUAUAAAUGGAACGCAUCAUUAAUGUAACACAGUCAGUAACUUUUUGUGCAGUGCUGCUACAAUACCAAUUUCAGGGUUGUACUCGAGCAAUUCAAUCCUCUAACGCGUGCGAAAAGAACGGAGGAAUUCGACGACCUUCGUGGGGAGAGAUGUUUUUGAAUGAGGUAAGUAAAAUGUGUUCCGGAAAUAAUUUUCGGAUGGAAGGCAUUAUUUUUUAUUUACUAUAAAUAAAACCAUUCAUUGGUUUACACUGUCAUCAGUCCUUAAAGUUUGUAUGGUUUUCUGGCUGAAUUUUUGCGGGAAUUGUUUGGUGUUAAGUCAUCUACAGGUAGUACCCUUUCAGGCAGACCUUUAGCAUUUUAAAUGUGUUUAAUAUUUGUUAAAUAAAUUGCACUUAUCUACGUGUUUGAUUUUUGUUUAAUGUGUAUAACGUGCUUAACGUGUUUAAUGUCAAAUGUGUUCAGGUAAUUUGCUUGCUGCGUUGACGGCAUCUUCCGGAUGCUCCUGCCACCUGGUUGCACGAAUUUAAAAAAAAAUAAAUAAAAAAAUUUAAAAGCACACCGGAUUGGUCGGUAUAGUAGGCUAUUUGUUUUGUAGAGUCUUACCUGGGUGUUGAGAAACACACAAGCAGCUUUGCUCAUCGAUUUUGACAAGUCAUUUCAUGGCAGGAGGGCUCAUGCCAGGGUCCAGCGGUCACUGCAGCUUUGACAGUGUGGAACCCCUCCCUGGGGAAACCUGAUGCUCCACAGGAGCAGAAAAAAGAGCACACUCCCGUAUCAUUGCCAACCUGCAGUUGCCUUCUGUGAGCAGCAGAGGGGCUCGUGUCACAACUACAAAACUGCAGAAGAACGGAAUCAGCAACGGACCGGAAAGCGAGGAUUCAAAUGAGGCAUUUACAGAAUGACAGGAGUAGUCCUGCAUUUUAAGGAUGUCUUACCAUCUCUCAUUGUCUGCUUCACACUUCCUCACUGCCAUGUUCUGCUUAUGAGGCAUCUAUAGGAAUGCCCUGUAAGAAAUGAAAGGUGUCAGCAAAAAAAAAAAAUAAA